CGGCUCCCACUGAGGGUAUCACUUCACAUUAUGCUCCAAAAAGAACAGAAUCGGAAACAGUUAAACAACGUGACAGUUAUGACUCUCCCUCAGAGCCUGGGGAUGAACCUGGCUCCUUUUGGAUUCAUGAGUGGAAAUUUCGUUUACGGGGUUCCGGCCUAUGCAGGCUCUCUUGACACUUUUGAUGUCCCUAAAGUUAAGGCC